UUAAUCCUACCCGGUAGUCCCACUGUCUC
rnacentral:piRNA from 1 species